AAAGGCAAAUUACUUUAAUAGAUCAGUUUAGACAUUUAACAUAACUCACAUCCAUUUUAAAUACUAUUACAUAAAGCAUGGUGAAGAAAGGAAUUUCUGCCUCAUAAUUAGAAAACUCACAAUACAACUUGCCAAAAACCAGAACAAAGCCGUUUGAAAAUAAAUACGGUCCAUGCCAAAUAGUACAAAAAUGAAAUCAGCAGUCUUUCUCAAUAUGAAAACUUCUUCCUUUAGGUAUUCUCCAAUUCUAGCAUUAUGUUCUGCAAUUGAUGUGAGGCUAUCUUUUGUUCAAGGAUUGCUGAGCUGUUCUGAUUUUGCUCCUUUGGUGUCCGUCUUUUCACCACUGUUGUCCUUGGAUUUAUCCUCCUCCUUAACAUCUGCUUUUUUGUCCUCUGUCUCUUUCUUGUCUUCCUCUAUCCUAGCUUUCUUUGCUCCUUUCUUGUGAUCUGCAACAUUUCGCCGUCCACCUUCCCCUUCAUCUUCAGAGUCUGAAAACUCCUCAUCACAGGCAAUGCGCUUAUCAGAUGCUCGAAUAGAAAUGCGUUUGUCUGGAUCUUCUCCAUCCUCAUCUCCACUAUCUUCAUGAACAGCAUCUUCAGGAAUGGCCUGCAUCUGUACACCAGGUGCAUGAGGUAACAUGCGCAAGUUUUCAAAUAAGCGUUGCUUGAUCUUUUCCAUAUAUUCUGGUGUAUUCUGAUUAGUCAUAUUUGAUGGACUAAUAUGAAGUUUGAAGUCUGGUCCAAAAUACUCAAAGUAAUCAUUGUAUGGUAAUUCAUUAGGAAUUUCACAAUCUAAGGCAACAGCAGUUUCAUAUGUCCAGCAUCGAGCAACAUUGCGAAUAGUAUAUCCACCUCCUCCUAACAUCAGCAAUGGCAAGUUGAAGGUCUUUACAACUUCCACACAUUUUGCAUGACCUUUAACAGUAAGAUUAAAGCAUCCCAACCUAUCACCAGACAAUGAAUCUGCUCCACACUGUAAUACUACAGCACUGGGCUGGUACAUCUCCAUUACUUUUGAUAUAAUUGGUUUGAAUAUCUGUCCAUACGACUCAUCAUCUAUACCAUCCCUCAUUGGAAAGUUGACAGCAUAGUAUUUGCCUUUUCCAGCACCAAUGUCCCUAAGGUCCCCUGUGCCUGGAAAAUAUUCACCAUACUUAUGGAAUGAUACUGUCAUGACACGAUCUGUGGUAUAAAAUGCUUCUUCAACACCAUCACCAUGAUGGAUAUCAAUAUCAAUAUACAACACUCUUUGGUGAUACUUCAGUAACUCAAGGAUGGCAAGCACAAUAUCAUUGACAUAACAAAAACCAGAUGCCUCUGACUUCUUGGCAUGGUGAAGUCCUCCAGCCCAAUUAACAGCCAUGUCUGUCUGCUGUCUGUUCAAUUUUACCGCCCCAGCAACAGAGCCUCCAGUUGACAGCUGACAAAACUCAAACAGGCCAUCAAAUAC
rnacentral:lncRNA from 1 species